GAUGAUCGCUGGCGGCGUGCCUAAUACAUGCAAGUCGAACGAGGUGCUUUUGUAGCAAUACGAGAGUAUCCUAGUGGCGAACGGGUGAGUAACGCGUUGGUGACCUACCCAAGUAGUGGGAGUAACAGUCCGAAAGGAUUGCUAAUACCGCAUGUGGUCUUCGGAUUUAGUAAACUGAUGACUAAAGGAGCAAUUCGCUUUGGGAGGGACCUGCGUCCCACUCAGCUAGUUGGUGAGGUAAUGGCUCACCAAGGCUACGACGGGUAGGGGACCUGAGAGGGUGACCCCCACAAUGGAACUGAAACACGGUCCAUACACCUACGGGUGGCAGCAGUAGGGAAUAUUGCACAAUAGGGCGAAAGACCUGAUGCAGCAACGCCGCGUGUGCGAUGAAGGCCUUCGGGUC
rnacentral:rRNA from 1 species